UAAGUCUCUUUCUGUGUCUCUGUCUUUCUCUCUCUCACUCACAAAUACAGACACUCACAUUGUAUGUUGGUUUUUUAAUAUAUCUCAAUUGUUUUUCAGG